rnacentral:rRNA from 1 species
CAUGCAAGUCGAGCGAGGUACUUGUACCUAGCGGCAGACGGGUGCGUAACAUGUGGGAAUCUGCCUUUUGGUUCGGAACAACACGGGGAAACUUGUGCUAAUACCGGAUAAGUCCUAACGGAGAAAGAUUUAUCGCCGAAAGAUGAGCCCGCACUAGAUUAGCUUGUUGGUAAGGUAAAAGCUUACCAAGGCUACGAUCUAUAGCUGAUUUGAGAGGAUGAUCAGCCACACUGGGACUGAGACACGGCCCAGACUCCUACGGGAGGCAGCAGUGGGGAAUCUUGCACAAUGGAGGAAACUCUGAUGCAGCGAUGCCGCGUGAGUGAAGAAGGCCCUUGGGUUGUAAAGCUCUUUUGUCGGGAAAGAUAAUGACUGUACCCGAAGAAUAAGGUCCGGCUAACUUCGUGCCAGCAGCCGCGGUAAUACGAAGGGACCUAGCGUAAUUCGGAAUUACUGGGCGUAAAGCGCGCGUAGGCGGUUAAGUAAGUUAAUUGUGAAAGCCCAAAGCUCAACUUUGGAAUUGCAAUUAAAACUACUUAGCUAGAGUUUAUCAGAGGAAAGCGGAAUACAUAGUGUAGAGGUGAAAUUCGUAGAUAUUAU